rnacentral:lncRNA from 1 species
UGCAUCCUUGACCCAAAAUGAAAUGUUUCAUCUACUUAUUUAAAGGCUCUUUAAAAAAUGACUUUGCUUUUAGCACUCAGUGUUCCCCUCUGAAAUACUCUGCUGAUUCACAAAGCUGUCUGAGAAAUUCAUGAUGUCGCUGCAAUAUCAGCCUGAAUGAGGAUAAAGUAUCCAUUUGGAGAUCAGAAAAUUUACUUUAUUGGCUAAAGGGGUACUCCCCUUUGGUAUAAAGAAAGGCAUUAGAAAAUCUAUUAAGGCUGAGUUAUGUUCUGCAGUCACCAUCUUUUCUUGUUACAAUUAGUAUUUCAUUUUAAUUGCGCUGCUAUAUAAUUUCUUACGAAAAGAUACUCAGUGUGAACUCUGAACAAGACUCUUUUUUUUUUUUUUUUUUUUUUUUUUACCACAAUAGACCAUUUUUCCAUGGACACUUUUCUACUCUUCCUUAGGUUAUGAAGUGAGGUACAGGGAUUUUUUUUUUUUUUUACUUUAUGUGUUAUAAAGGGCAUAUUUUAAUUGUUUCUGCUCAUAUCCACCUCUUUGGUCGUUUUUCUUGUUGCUACACCAGGAAAAUGACAUAUGCAUCCUUUUCAAUCAAGCUGCGUUUCGUGAUGCCUAGCAAAUUAGAUUUGCGUUGUCUGUCAUUUAUGUGGCGGUUUCAUCUAAGUGGUCAGAGGAAGCAUGUUCUUAGCUUCUUUUUAUAAAAUGAAGAUAGUUUCUCCCUUUUGAGAAAAAUAAUAGCUUUUAUUCUUCUUAAGGACAUAUUCUGUUUUUCACCUUUCUUUGCCUAACACACAUUUCUAAGAACUCUUCUACAUAACCUCUCUCAUUUUCUCACAAUAUAUUCAUUUAUUGAUAGAGCAAUUACUGAGCACCUACUAUGUGAAAGGGCUGCUUCUCUGUUGUUUUGGCUAUGUUAGUUAAAAUAUGAACAAACAUUCUCGGCCUUAACAAGCUCAGAAUAUUUGAUAAAGACAGACAAGUCAGCAACUAACUUCUGCUCAAGGAGUUUUGGGA